UAAUAUUUUGUGACAUCCAUUUCCCUCUUAUCCCACGUUUCGACUUCCGAUUUCCAUCACUUUCAGCUUCUCCCUAAUUUUAUUUCAUCUCUCUCCCUCCUUAGGCAGCCACCCUCCCCUCUCACAUUUUCUUCCUCUUCUUCACGAUUCUCCACUUUUUCUUCCUUCGUCUGCUCCAUUUGUGCGUUCAGUAGCACACCGCUGGCAGUUUGUUUCCGCUGCUAGCCGAAGAGGCGCCCAACCGCAGAUCUGUCGCUGUUCAGUCGUGGGAGGUCGAUGUCGUCUCAAUUGCUAGCCGUGAGCCAUUACGUCGCGCGUCUGUCGUAGCUCGCCUCUGCUGUGCUCCGCCUUUAGUCACCAGCCAUCCGAUUUUUGUCAGAUUUUGUAACUGCUCUGUUUUUUUAGUUUCGAGUUGUUGUGGGGGUGGGUUUUGAUAACCCAUUAAGUAGUCAUGCAAGAUUGUGUUUACCCAUGGUGUUUGAAGGUUAGGUUGUGCUUUCUGAAGUGUUUCGAAGUGCUGUCCAGCAGACGUUGAGGUUUCAACGAGCUUUUGGUUAUCCAGGCUUCAAGCAUUCAAGCAAGUGAAGAGAACCAAAAUUUAGACAAUUGGGUUAGGAACAUUGAGUAUGGACUUCGAAGGAAUCUUGAAUCAUAAAAUGAAAGGAUUCUAUAGAAGAUUUCAAGGAGUUGAGGAUAACAUCUGACGAGGUUCUCACUUUGGAGAUACCUAAGAGUAUUGUGGUGUUUUGAGGAGAGUGUUGUCUCUCUUUCUUAUUAUUACAUAUACUUUGUGUUUUAUGAUUAAAGAUCAUAAUUCGUUUUUUGUUAUUAAGUAUAUUGUGCUCAAAUAAGUUUUAGUCA